rnacentral:rRNA from 1 species
CCGACGGUGAGGGGCGAAACCCUGGGGCGCAAACCGGAUAGAUACCCGGGUAGUCCAGGGCGUAAACGCUGCAGGCUUGGUGUUGGGGGCCCUACGUGGGCGCUCAGUGCCGGAGUGAAGAUGUUAAGCCUGCCGCUUGGGGAGUAUGUCCGCAAGGAUGAAACUUAAAGGAAUUGGCGGGAGAGCACAGCAACGGGAGGAGCGUGCGGUUCAAUUGGAUUCAACGCCGUAAAACUCACCGGGAGCG